rnacentral:rRNA from 1 species
UACGUAGGGUGCAAGCGUUAAUCGGAAUUACUGGGCGUAAAGCGUGCGCAGGCGGUUCGUCAUGUCUGAUGUGAAAGCCCCGGGCUCAACCUGGGAAUGGCAUUGGAAACUAGCGGGCUGGAGUGUGGCAGAGGGGGGUGGAAUUCCACGUGUAGCAGUGAAAUGCGUAGAGAUGUGGAGGAACACCGAUGGCGAAGGCAGCCCCCUGGGCUAACACUGACGCUCAGGCACGAAAGCGUGGGGAGCAAACAGG